UGGUGUGAAACGUUUAACUGAUUGUUUAUAUUACUGACCUACCAAAAAUUCAUUACUAACUCGUUCUCACCACUGGCGCUUUGGAUGCAGUAAUCAGGUUUCAAGUCGUAAAUAAUAUGUUCGAUAAGUGAGCCUACUUUUAAAUUUUAUAGUAAUAGGCAUAAUAUGAGCAAUAUGAUAAGAAUUAGCAAUUAAUACUUUCAGUUAUGUCGAAAAGUUAGCG
rnacentral:misc_RNA from 1 species